rnacentral:rRNA from 1 species
GUGAGUAACCUGCCCUCUUCUUUGGGAUAACGCCCGGAAACGGGUGCUAAUACUGGAUAUUCACUGAUCUUCGCAUGGGGGUUGGUGGAAAGGUUUUUCUGGUGGGGGAUGGGCUCGCGGCCUAUCAGCUUGUUGGUGGGGUGAUGGCCUACCAAGGCUUUGACGGGUAGCCGGCCUGAGAGGGUGACCGGUCACAUUGGGACUGAGAUACGGCCCAGACUCCUACGGGAGGCAGCAGUGGGGAAUAUUGCACAAUGGGCGAAAGCCUGAUGCAGCGACGCCGCGUGAGGGAUGGAGGCCUUCGGGUUGUAAACCUCUUUCGCUCAUGGUCAAGCCGCAACUUAGGGUUGUGGUGAGGGUAGUGGGUAAAGAAGCGCCGGCUAACUACGUGCCAGCAGCCGCGGUAAUACGUAGGGCGCGAGCGUUGUCCGGAAUUAUUGGGCGUAAAGGGCUUGUAGGCGGUUGGUCGCGUCUGCCGUGAAAUCCUCUGGCUUAACUGGGGGCGUGCGGUGGGUACGGGCUGACUUGAGUGCGGUAGGGGAGACUGGAACUCCUGGUGUAGCGGUGGAAUGCGCAGAUAUCAGGAAGAACACCGGUGGCGAAGGCGGGUCUCUGGGCCGUUACUGACGCUGAGGAGCGAAAGCGUGGGGAGCGAACAGGAUUAGAUACCCAGGUAGUCCACGCUGUAAACGUUGGGCACUAGGUGUGGGGGCCACCCGUGGUUUCUGCGCCGUAGCUAACGCUUUAAGUGCCCCGCCUGGGGAGUACGGCCGCAAGGCUAAAACUCAAAGGAAUUGACGGG